GAAUUUUGGGCAAUGGGCGAAAGCCUGACCCAGCAACGCCGCGUGAGGGAUGAAGGCCUUCGGGUCGUAAACCUCUGUCGGGAGGGACGAAAGGCGCGCGGGUGAACAAUCCGCGUACUUGACGGUACCUCUAGAGGAAGCACCGGCUAACUCUGUGCCAGCAGCCGCGGUAAUACAGAGGGUGCAAGCGUUGUUCGGAAUUAUUGGGCGUAAAGCGCGUGUAGGCGGCUUUGCAAGUCGGGUGUGAAAGCCCUCAGCUCAACUGAGGAAGUGCGCCCGAAACUGCAUGGCUUGAGUACCGGAGAGGAUGGUGGAAUUCCCCAAGUAGAGGUGAAAUUCGUAGAUAUGGGGAGGAACACCGGUGGCGAAGGCGACCAUCUGGACGGAUACUGACGCUGAGACGCGAAAGCGUGGGUAGCAAAC
rnacentral:rRNA from 1 species